AACGAACGCUGGCGGCAGGCUUAACACAUGCAAGUCGAGCGCCCCGCAAGGGGAGCGGCAGACGGGUGAGUAACGCGUGGGAACGUACCCUUUGCUACGGAAUAGCUCCGGGAAACUGGAAUUAAUACCGUAUGUGCCCUACGGGGGAAAGAUUUAUCGGCAAAGGAUCGGCCCGCGUUGGAUUAGCUAGUUGGUGGGGUAAUGGCCUACCAAGGCGACGAUCCAUAGCUGGUCUGAGAGGAUGAUCAGCCACAUUGGGACUGAGGCACGGCCCAAACUCCUACGGGAGGCAGCAGUGGAGAAUAUUGGACAAUGGGCGCAAGCCUGAUCCAGCCAUGCCGCGUGAGUGAUGAAGGCCUUAGGGUUGUAAAGCUCUUUCACCGGAGAAGAUAAUGACGGUAUCCGGAGAAGAAGCCCCGGCUAACUUCGUGCCAGCCGCCGCAGUAAAAC
rnacentral:rRNA from 1 species